rnacentral:rRNA from 1 species
GAUCAUGGCUCAGGAUGAACGCUAGCGGCAGGCUUAACACAUGUAAGUCGAGGGACGGUAGCAAUACUGGACCGGCAAACGGGUGCGGAACACGUACACAAUCUGCCUUUAUCUGGGGGAUAGCCUUUCGAAAGGAAGAUUAAUUACCCCAUAGGUAUUAUUGGGUGGCAUCACUUAAUAAUUAAAGCUCCGGUGGAUAAAGAUGAGUGUGCGUACUAUUAGCUAGUUGGUAAGGUAACGGCUUACCAAGGCGACG